GAGUUUGAUCAUGGCUCAGGACGAACGCUGGCGGCGUGCUUAACACAUGCAAGUCAAGGGGGCCCGCAAGGGCAACCGGCGAACGGGUGCGUAACACGUGAGCAACCUACCGAUUUGUGGGGGAUAGCCGGCCCAACGGCCGGGUGAUACCGCAUACGCUUUUCUCGUCACCUGACGGGAUCUGGAAACUUUCGAGGCAGAUCGAGGGGCUCGCGGCCUAUCAGCUAGUUGGCGAGGUCACGGCUCACCAAGGCGACGACGGGUAGCUGGUCUGAGAGGAUGGCCAGCCACAUUGGGACUGAGAAACGGCCCAGACUCCUACGGGAGGCAGCAGUGGGGAAUCUUGCGCAAUGGGCGAAAGCCUGACGCAGCGACGCCGCGUGGGGGAUGACGGGUUUCGGCUUGUAAACCCCUGUUGCCCGGGACGAACUUCUCCUUUCGAGGAGAUUGACGGUACCGGGUGAGGAAGCACCGGCUAACUCUGUGCCAGCAGCCGCUGUAAG
rnacentral:rRNA from 1 species